rnacentral:rRNA from 1 species
AUGCAAGACUACUUCGCGGACAAUCCAACAUAUACGCCGCACCUCUUUCGGAGAAGGUACCGAAUGCGCCGAUCCAUCUUUGUAAAAAUUGUUCAAGCUUGCGAGGCCAAUUAUCGAUAUUUUACUUAAAGAAGAAAUGCCGGGCUUGAAGGGUUUAGUGCUUAUCAAAAAAUCUGGGCAACUAUGCGGGUAAUUGCAUACGUCACUCCGCCUGACUAUGCGGAUGAGUACCUUCGCAUUGGUGAAGAUACUACAAUUGAGUCAGUGCGUAGGUUUGCCAAAGUGAUCAUCCGUGUCUUUGGUCCUGAAUAUCUUCAGGCACCGAAUGAGGAAGACAAAAAAAAUUGA